CAGUCGCCACGGUAAUACGUAGGUGGCAAGCGUUGUCCGGAAUUAUUGGGCGUAAAGGGCUCGCAGGCGGUUUCUUAAGUCUGAUGUGAAAGCCCCCGGCUCAACCGGGGAGGGUCAUUGGAAACUGGGAAACUUGAGUGCAGAAGAGGAGAGUGGAAUUCCACGUGUAGCGGUGAAAUGCGUAGAGAUGUGGAGGAACACCAGUGGCGAAGGCGACUCUCUGGUCUGUAACUGACGCUCAGGUGCGAAAGCGUGGGGAGCGAGCAGGAUUAGAGACCCCUGUAGUCCCUGUCUCUUAUAC
rnacentral:rRNA from 1 species